CUGCACAGGACGCGAGGAUGCUGACAGUUCCUCACAGCCACACAGGACGCGAGGAUGCUGACAGUUCCUCACAGCCACACAG
rnacentral:miRNA from 1 species